CUGACUACAUCACCUCAGACCUGGACAGCUGGGAUCACAAUCAAGCUAGCACCACCGUGGGCAGGACAGACAGACAGAAAGACAGCUCAGGCCUGCGCUGGAAGCAGAAACUGAAUUCUCCUGGCCCGCCGCGAGGAGACCAGCGUCCUGCCCCCACCCCAGCCUUUGGCUGGACAGCCUAGGGUUUAGGACGUCUCAGACGGACAGACAGACAGACAGGCAAACCGCAUCUCCGGAGGCAGACAG